AUUGAACGCUGGCGGCAGGCCUAACACAUGCAAGUCGAACGAGUGGCGGACGGGUGAGUAAUGUCUGGGAAACUGCCUGAUGGAGGGGGAUAACUACUGGAAACGGUAGCUAAUACCGCAUACCCUCGGAUGUGCCCAGAGGGGAUUAGCUAGUAGGGGGGGUAAAGGCUCACCUAGGCGACGAUCCCUAGCUGGUCUGAGAGGAUGACCAGCCCAACUGGAACUGAGACACGGCCCAGACUCCUACGGGAGGCAGCAGUGGGGAAUAUUGCACAAUGGGCGCAAGCCUGAUGCAGCCAUGCCGCGUGUAUGAAGAGGGCUUUCGGGUUGUAAAGUACUUUCAGCGGGGAGGCGUUACCCGCAGAAGAAGCACCGGCUAACUCCGUGCCAGCAGCCGCGGUAAUUC
rnacentral:rRNA from 1 species